rnacentral:misc_RNA from 1 species
UUUUUUUUUUUUGAACUGCAAAUGCUUAAUUUCAUUUGAAGGCCCCAAAAUUGGGCAUUUAGUUCAACUUGCACUAUGUUGGUCUUAUUCUCUCUGCGGUGAUUAUCAUGACUAUCGUUCUUGUUUAUUUUGUUUCAAUGCAGGGUGAUUUUAUCAUCUUGUUUUACUGAUACAUCUUAUGCAAAGUCAUGAACUAGCUACUGUUCAGAAAUGAAAAAGAACUUUGUUCUUGCUGUAACUUGAUAUGAAGCCGUGAUUUAUUGCAGAUAGGUCAUUGAUUGCCUAAGAUGUAUCAGUAAAACAAGAUGAUAA